UUCAUGCCAACAGUGACCCUGAGCAGCGGGCAGGAGAGCGUCCAUCGGAACGUGACCUUGGGACCGCCAGGUGCAGGCAGCGGGAGGUGAGGCCGGGAAGCGGAGUGGAGAAAUAUCCUCGGGUGAAGAUUAAAAUAUAAAAGAAAAUAAGGCAAGAUGCAAAGCAUUGUGAACCACAGCCUAGCAAGCAUGUCAAACUCGCGGAAUGCGGCCUUGGGACACUGACUGUUGUCUACUGACACGGACGCUUCUUGGGCUGCCUGAUGAUUGGCCAGUUGUCAUUGCUCUUCUCAAGGUGAGCUUCUCAACACGACUCUCCGAUUUCAAGACUCGCUUCCAGUGUUGCAAAACAGCAUGUUCCUGUUCAACCAAAGACCCACGAUGAGAUGUGGAGCCUCAGAACCCAACAUCCAAGUCCAUUCAAAGCUUCAAAGACAUUUCAGGGGGCACAGAGGUUCAAGUUCAGAGCACAGCCAGUGAGCGGAGAGAAGAGAAUAAUGCCGACUGGCUCGCCCACGAGCUGACCAGCGCUUUACUCAUUACCUGAGCCAACUUGGGUGACUAAUUUCGAUAAAGAGAGAAAUGACACUCAAAAUAU